GUUCUCUUUGGUAGCAUGUAUCCUGAUAUUGGCAGGGUGGAGAGAAGAUUGGCAUGGCCCCUGCACAAGGGUGGCAUGCAAAUUUACAAAUCAUGCCACAAUGAA